AUUCAGGAAGCCAUCCUGAAACCCCUGCUUUGUCUCCUGACAAACAGAUGGGGUGAGGUCACAAGGAAGUGACCCCUGAGCUGCGAGUGGACCCUGAGCUUAGGGCACAGAGGCAGAGGAAGAGCAGGAAGCAGGUGCCCCCAGGGUGGGAAGAGUGGAAGAAGGACUGGCGCUCUUCUGCUGAGUGGGCCAGGAAGUGACCCGGUGGUGGGAAGUGGCUGAAGGUGGUGUGUUCCGGGGUCAGACUGAGUGCAGGGUCGGAAGUGAGCCUAGUAAACAAAACUGAGCUGAUGGAUCGCUCAGGACAAUGUGUGCAGUGGAAGUUUCUAGAAACCCGAAGCUGGCAUGGAGAAACAAUAGACAGGCAGAGACCAGGGACCUAAGUGUGUGUCAUUCAGAAGACUCUCUGGCAAGUGACUUUUGAAGGCUGCGAGGAUCCCAUCAACCUGAUUGUGUCAUAUGGCUUGGCCUCUCCAUCCCAGGAAGGGAAGCCCAGGAUGGAAGACACGCAUGUUCCAACCUGCCACGGUAUCAGCGUUCCCAGCAGCCUCGUGUCCUGCACAUAAGCUGUUAAGUGGCCAUCUGUGCACUGAUAGAAAAGACUGAACAAGACGUACGUGGUCAAGUUCAGGGAAAGCCCGGGCGUCUCCAGGGACCCGCCAGUUGCCAAAGACUCCCAGAUAGCAAGAUGAACACUGAGA
rnacentral:lncRNA from 1 species